CCGUGAGGGAAAGUUGAAAAGAACUUUGAAGAGAGAGUUCAAAAGGGCGUGAAACCGCUUAGAAUAAAACGGACGGAGCCGUCGGUGGCCUUCCGGAAUCAGUCGUACGACGCGCGAUGGCGCGUUUUGUUGGAGCGAAAGUCUGGCGGGCGCGUUGGGAGAUAGUAGCGUUCGUUCGAUGCAUUUCCGGAGGGUAUGCGCCGCGACCGAUGCGAGAGGCUAGCGAAUCCGGCGAUUUGAGGUGGAAACCCCUCACGGGGUCUUCAUUACCAGUUCAUCGGCUUGUAAUCGCUAGACGUAAGCAUCGAGCGCGUAAUAAAACAGACACUGGCUAAUGUGCUCGCUUAAGCGGUGGAUAGUUGGCGGAAUUUGCUGUACCUGCUCGCAGGUUAUGCGGAUUCCCGUUCGGCUUUUGAAGCCGCGGGCGAGUUAUAGUGUCCCGGCGUCAGCGGCGUCCGAGACGGUCAACCGUCCGACCCGUCUUGAAACACGGACCAAGGAGUCUAACGUACGCGCGAGCUAAUGAGUGGCAAACUCAUAAGCGCAAUAAAAGUAAAAGGUACGAUCCCGGGGUAUUUACUUAUCCCGGGCGCAGUACCGUCCCAUCCUGAUCGCUCGUCGGUAGGGUGGAGAUCGAGCGCCUACGUUGGGACCCGAAAGAUGGUGAACUAUGCCUGAGCAGAGCGAAGCCAGAGGAAACUCUGGUGGAGGUUCGUAGCGGUUCUGACGUGCAAAUCGAUCGUCAGAC
rnacentral:rRNA from 1 species